rnacentral:rRNA from 1 species
AACGAACGUUGGCGGCGUGCCUAACACAUGCAAGUCGAGCGUGAAAGUCUUCGGAUGAGUAAAGCGGCGGACGGGUGAGUAACGCGUAGAUAAUCUACCUUUUAGUGUGGAAUAACUAAGGGAAACUUUAGCUAAUACCGCAUGUGGAUCCGGAACUUAUGUUCUGGUAUCUAAAGGGGGCGAAAGCUCUCGCUAAUUGA